UCGGGAAUUUUGGGCAAUGGGCGAAAGCCUGACCCAGCAACGCCGCGUGAUGGAUGAAGUCCCUAGGGACGUAAACAUCUUUUAUGAGGGAGAAAGUUUAUUGAUAGUACCUCACGAAUAAGGGGCUCCUAACUCUGUGCCAGCAGGAGCGGUAAUACAGAGGCCCCAAGCGUUAUCCGGAAUCACUGGGCGUAAAGGGUGUCGAGGCGGUUGUAUUAGUCGUUCGUAAAAUCUACGAGCUUAACUUGUAGGCGGCGAACGAAACGGUACGACUUGAGGUUUGGAGAGGUGCGUGGAACUCACGGUGUAGGGGUGAAAUCCGUUGAUAUCGUGGGGAACACCAAAGGCGAAGGCAGCGCACUGGCCAAAAUCUGACGCUCACACACGAAAGCUAGGGUAGCGAAGAGGAUUAGAUACCCUCGUAGUCCCUGAGCGGGCUGGCAAGGCGCAU
rnacentral:rRNA from 1 species